rnacentral:tRNA from 1 species
CGGGGUGUAGCGCAGUCUGGUAGCGCACUUGUCUGGGGGACAAGUGGUCGCUGGUUCAAAUCCAGCCACUCCGA